GACGAACGCUGGCGGCGUGCCUAAUACAUGCAAGUUGAGCGAUGAAGAUUGGUGCUUGCACCCAUUUGAAGAGCAGCGAACGGGUGAGUAACGCGUGGGGAAUCUGCCUUUGAGCGGGGGACAACAUUUGGAAACGAAUGCUAAUACCGCAUAAUAACUUUAAACAUAAGUUUUAAGUUUGAAAGAUGCAAUUGCAUCACUCAAAGAUGAUCCCGCGUUGUAUUAGCUAGUUGGUGAGGUAAAGGCUCACCAAGGCGAUGAUACAUAGCCGACCUGAGAGGGUGAUCGGCCACAUUGGGACUGAGACACGGCCCAAACUCCUACGGGAGGCAGCAGUAGGGAAUCUUCGGCAAUGGACGAAAGUCUGACCGAGCAACGCCGCGUGAGUGAAGAAGGUUUUCGGAUCGUAAAACUCUGUUGGUAGAGAAGAACGUUGGUGAGAGUGGAAAGCUCAUCAAGUGACGGUAACUACCCAGAAAGGGACGGCUAACUACGUG
rnacentral:rRNA from 1 species